rnacentral:misc_RNA from 1 species
CAGCCCCGGCCCGUGUAUACCAGGAAGUGUCGCGACCACUCGAUCUGGAAAUAAGAUCAAUUUUAAAUAGUAAUUAAAUUAAAUAGGAAUUGCGAUAAACAUCAAAUUAUUCUGAUAAAAUGACAAGCAGUGUUGUAUUUGUAGAGGAACCCUCCUCGCACCUGUUGUGCCCAGUUUGUAAGAAUCUGUUUAUGGAGCCGAUGAUUAGUGUGGAAUGUGGUCAUACGUUUUGCAAAGCUUGCCUUCAGAUUAAAGACAACGGGGAAGGAAUCGCAAGUCUCGGGGAGUGUCCCGUGGACUCGAAACCGCUGAAAGGAACCCGCUCAGUGCCAAAUAAAUCCAUUGAAUCCCAAAUUGAUGAACUCCAGAUCUUCUGCAAAUGUGGCAUAAAGAGAUUGAAUUCCAGGAAUGAUGUGAUAGAAGAUGAGACAGGAUGCCCUGAAAUCAUUCCCCUAGCAUCUCAAACCAGCCAUGAAGAGGAAUGUAUCUUUGUCAAAGUGGUCUGUCCAAACAGCACUCUCUGUGGAAAAAUUCCUAGGAAGGAGCUCCAGGCUCACCUCCAAGAGUGUCCAAACUUCUCUUGUGAUUUCCAAGAAAGAGGAUGUACAUUCAAAGGAACUAAAGAGGCAGUUCAAGAUCAUAUUAUAUCAUGCACCUGUCGGUUGACAAGUGAAAGCAUUCCAUCUAUUGUUUUAGAGUUACAAAAGGAGAAUAUUGAGCUGAAGACACAAGUAGAGGCUUUAAACCAUAAGCUUGCAGUCGUAGAACAGUCACACGAGAGCCUCUUGACCCAUAUAAAGAAACUUGAAAUUCAGAUGCAAUCAGUAAAUGAGAAGCUGAAUGAUAGCAAUGGUUUGAAAUCCUCUCAACCAUUUGGGUAUGAUAGUUUCCCUCCAUCCAGGACUCCAUCUCAGAAAACAUUAAGAGUUAGUAGGAGUGGCAGUACUGGAAGCAUAUCAAGUCUUCGAAACUCUAUGGAACUUAUAUUCCCCCCUAGUGCUCGGUCAGACUCUUGGCAGAUUCCAUUUGAGUUCAAAUGUAUCGGAACUCUAAUGGGCCAUAGUAAUGCUAUAAACUGCAUUGCAAUCCAUGGUCAUAAGGUGUACAGUAGUGGAGGUGACUUUCACAUUAAAGUGUGGAAUAUUGAAAAGCUUAGCAAAGGAUGCAUCCAAACAAUGCAGGGACAUACAGACACAGUACAAGUAUUGGUAGCUUCUUCUGACUUCCUCUAUAGUGCUGGAGAUGAUAGAUCUAUUCGGAUGUGGAGAUACGACACAGCAGGCACAGAAUACAAAUGUCGAAGUGAUGCUCAUGCCAAGUCUAUUAGUGCUAUGAUAAAGGUUGGAGUUCAUAUCUUCACAUCUUCACAUUCAUCUAUCAAGGUAUGGACAUCUGAGUCUUUGGAUCUAAUUCAUACCAUCUCAGGACUACAUCAUUGGGUUAGAGCACUGGCUGUCGAUUCUAAAAUGGAGAGACUAUAUAGUGGGUCGCACAAUUCUUUGAGUGUCUGGGACACCAAGCCACCAUUUGCUUUGAAGAGAAAGUUAGAUCAUACCUAUGGAUCCAUAUACUCCAUAGCAAUCACACAUCAGUACAUCCUCCUUGGUACUUACAACCAAAAUGUUAAGGUUAUUGAAGUUGGUACAUUCACUCUCAAGUCAUCAUUGAGUGGUCAUAUAGGGACCGUUAGUGCCAUACAGUCCAGUCCAGAUGGCGGAUUUGCUAUAACAAGCUGCUAUGAUGGAAAGACAAGGGUACCCACAGUCAGAAUGUGCAGAUAUAUGAUGUUGAGACGUAUGCAUAUAUCAGGGCUCUGGCAGGACAAAUUGGUAUCAUCAAUUGCAUGGUGACUAGCCCUGGUGGACAGUUUCUUAUCUCAGGAUCAUAUGACAACACAGCCAUGAUCUUCAAUUUGGAGAAUUUCCUGAGUUUACAGGUUCUGUCCCGUCAUCAGGGUAGUAUCAAUGCUAUUGCUCUACGUAAUGGUCUACUCUUUACAGGAUCGGAAGA